CCUGGUUGAUUCUGCCAGUAGUCAUAUGCUUGUCUCAAAGAUUAAGCCAUGCAUGUCUAAGUAUAAGCAAUUAUACCGCGAAACUGCGAAUGGCUCAUUAUAUAAGUUAUCGUUUAUUUGAUAGUACCUUACUACUUGGAUAACCGUGGUAAUUCUAGAGCUAAUACAUGCUAAAAAUCCCGACUUCGGAAGGGAUGUAUUUAUUAGAUUAAAAACCAAUGCCCUUCGGGGCUCACUGGUGAUUCAUAAUAACUUCUCGAAUCGCAUGGCCUUGCGCCGGCGAUGGUUCAUUCAAAUUUCUUCCCUAUCAACUUUCGAUGCUAGAGUAGUGUUCUAGCAUGGUUACAACGGGUAACGGAGGGUUAGGGCUCGACCCCGGAGAGGGAGCCUGAGAAACGGCUACCACAUCCAAGGAAGGCAGCAGGCGCGCAAAUUACCCAAUCCCGACUCGGGGAGGUAGUGACGAUAAAUACUGAUACAGGGCUCUUUUGGGUCUUGUAAUUGGAAUGAGUACAAUUUAAAUCCCUUAACGAGGAACAAUUGGAGGGCAAGUCUGGUGCCAGCAGCCGCGGUAAAUUCCAGCUCCAAUAGCGUAUAUUAAAGUUGUUGUGGUUAAAAAGCUCGUAGUAGAACCUUGGGCCUGGCUGGCCGGUCCGCCUCACCGCGUGUACUGGUCCGGCCGGGCCUUUCCCUCUGUGGAACCGCAUGUCCUUCACUGGAUGUGUCGGGGAAACAGGACUUUUACUUUGAAAAAAUUAGAGUGCUCCAGGCAGGCCUAUGCUCGAAUACAUUAGCAUGGAAUAAUAAAAUAGGACGUGUGGUUCUAUUUUGUUGGUUUCUAGGACCGCCGUAAUGAUUAAUAGGGACAGUCGGGGGCAUCAGUAUUCAAUUGUCAGAGGUGAAAUUCUUGGAUUUAUUGAAGACUAACUACUGCGAAAGCAUUUGCCAAGGAUGUUUUCAUUUAUCAGGAACGAAAGUUAGGGGAUCGAAGACGAUCAGAUACCGUCGUAGUCUUAACCAUAAACUAUG
rnacentral:rRNA from 1 species